rnacentral:sRNA from 1 species
GGGCGCAGGUGGAAGCCGUCCUGUGUUAUAUUAUCUACAAUGGCAUGACAAGCGAGAGUAUCACGCCGUUUUU